AUUGAACGCUGGCGGCAGGCCUAACACAUGCAAGUCGAGCGGAUGAAGGGAGCUUGCUCCUGGAUUCAGCGGCGGACGGGUGAGUAAUGCCUAUGAAUCUGCCUGGUAGUGGGGGAUAACGUCCGGAAACGGGCGCUAAUACCGCAUACGUCCUGAUGGAGAAAGUUGGGGAUCUUCGGACCUCACGCUAUCAGAUGAGCCUAGGUCGGAUUAGCUAGUUGGUGGGGUAAAGGCCUACCAAGGCGACGAUCCGUAACUGGUCUGAGAGGAUGAUCAGUCACACUGGAACUGAGACACGGUCCAGACUCCUACGGGAGGCAGCAGUGGGGAAUAUUGGACAAUGGGCGAAAGCCUGAUCCAGCCAUGCCGCGUGUGUGAAGAAGGUCUUCGGAUUGUAAAGCACUUUAAGUUGGGAGGAAGGGCAGUAAGUUAAUACCUUGCUGUUUUGACGUUACCAACAGAAUAAGCACCGGCUAACUUCGUG
rnacentral:rRNA from 1 species